rnacentral:antisense_RNA from 1 species
AGCCCUCAGCGUACAUGCCAGCUAAUUACAGAUGCAGGAGCAAACCCCUGGCCCAUACAUCAGUUGGGUGUGGUGACUCACACCUGCAAUCCCAGCACUUUGGGAGGCUGAGGAGAGCAGAUCACUUGAGGCCAGGAGUUCGAGACCAGUCUGGGCAACAUAACUUUGAGUCUUGCUCUAUGGCCCAGACUGGAGUGCAGUGGCAUGAUCUCGGCUCACUUCAACCUCCACCUCCAGGGUUCGAGAGAGAUUCUCCUGCCUUAUCUUCCCAAGUAGCUGGGAUCACCAACGCCCACAACCACACCCGGCUAAUUUUUGUACUUUUAGUGGAGACAGGGUUUCGCCAUGUUGGCUAGGCUGGUCUCAAACUCCCGACCUCAGGUGAUCCACCUGCCUUGGCCUCCCAAAGUGCUGGGAUUACAGACGUGAGCCCCCGCACCUGGCCAAGAUCAGCUAGAUUUUGGAAGCAUUGCCUUCUACAGAAUCCACAGUAGUCCGAAGUUCUUCUACGGUUUUUGUCAAACUUUGAUUUUCCAUCUCUAGCUUCAAUAAUCUACUUGAUGUCAACUCAUUCACCUCAUGGCCCAGGGAUUUCUGCGGUGCUAUAAUAUUGAAAAAUACACCAUUGUAUUUACUCUG